AGCUUUGCCCAGUGGCAGUAUUGUAGCCAAUGAGGUUUGAGGCAUGAUUAUUGAAAUAAUUGAAAACUUUCCCAGUACACCACGAUGACAACUUGCAACAUAGUUGGCUUUGGCAAUUUUUGACAUCUCUACGGAGA
ensembl:snRNA U4 U4 spliceosomal RNA